GUCAGAAUGGCCGAGUGGUCUAAGGCGGCAGAUUUAAGCUCUGCUCCUCGAAAGAGGGCGUGGGUUCGAACCCCACUUCUGACA
rfam:Tropilaelaps mercedesae isolate Wuxi-XJTLT scaffold0000031380, whole genome shotgun sequence.